CCGGCCACGGAUGGGCAUGCGGCGCAUUAGCUAGUCGGCGGGGUAACGGCCCACCGAGGCGACGAUGCGUAGGGGUUCUGAGAGGAAGGCCCCCCACACUGGUACUGAGACACGGACCAGACUCCUACGGGAGGCAGCAGUGAGGAAUAUUGGUCAAUGGGCGCGAGCCUGAACCAGCCAAGUCGCGUGAGGGAGGACGGCCCUACGGGUUGUAAACCUCUUUUGCCGGGGAGCAACGGGCGCCACGUGUGGCGCCACUGAGAGUACCCGGAGAAAAAGCAUCGGCUAACUCCGUGCCAGCAGCCGCGGUAAUACGGAGGAUGCGAGCGUUAUCCGGAUUUAUUGGGUUUAAAGGGUGCGUAGGCGGAUCGUUAAGUCAGUGGUCAAAUUGAGGGGCUCAACCCCUUCCCGCCAUUGAAACUGGCGAUCUUGAGUGGAAGAGAAGUAUGCGGAAUGCGUGGUGUAGCGGUGAAAUGCAUAGAUAUCACGCAGAACCCCGAUUGCGAAGGCAGCAUGCCGGCUUCCGACUGACGCUGAAGCACGAAAGCGUGGGGAUCGAACAGGAUUAGAUACCCUGGUAGUCCACGCGGUAAACGAUGAGCGCUAG
rnacentral:rRNA from 1 species